rnacentral:sRNA from 2 species
UAUCUCUCCGUACGGGGAAGGAUGAGAAGCUUCGACUAAGGUUCGAUUCGAGCGCAGCGAGAAAGCGUUGCCGCAGGCAACGACCCGAAGGGCGAAGCGCGCAGCG